AGCGUACACGGUGGAUGCCCUGGCAGUCAGAGGCGAUGAAGGACGUGCUAAUCUGCGAAAAGCGUCGGUAAGGUGAUAUGAACCGUUACAGCCGGCGAUGUCCGAAUGGGGAAACCCAGUGCAAUUCGUUGCACUAUCGUUAACUGAAUACAUAGGUUAACGAGGCGAACCGGGGGAACUGAAACAUCUAAGUACCCCGAGGAAAAGAAAUCAACCGAGAUUCCCCCAGUAGCGGCGAGCGAACGGGGAGCAGCCCAGAGUCUGAAUCAGCUUGUGUGUUAGUGGAACGGUCUGGAAAGUCCGACGGUACAGGGUGAUAGUCCCGUACACCAAAAUGCACAGGUUGUGAACUCGAAGAGUAGGGCGGGACACGUGGUAUCCUGUCUGAAUAUGGGGGGACCAUCCUCCAAGGCUAAAUACUCCUGACUGACCGAUAGUGAACCAGUACCGUGAGGGAAAGGCGAAAAGAACCCCGGCGAGGGGAGUGAAAAAGAACCUGAAACCGUGUACGUACAAGCAGUGGGAGCACCUUCGGGUGUGACUGCGUACCUUUUGUAUAAUGGGUCAGCGACUUAUAUUCUGUAGCAAGGUUAACCGUAUAGGGGAGCCGCAGGGAAACCGAGUCUUAACUGGGCGUUAAGUUGCAGGGUAUAGACCCGAAACCCGGUGAUCUAGCCAUGGGCAGGUUGAAGGUUGGGUAACACUAACUGGAGGACCGAACCGACUAAUGUUGAAAAAUUAGCGGAUGACUUGUGGCUGGGGGUGAAAGGCCAAUCAAACCGGGAGAUAGCUGGUUCUCCCCGAAAGCUAUUUAGGUAGCGCCUCGUGAACUCAUCUUCGGGGGUAGAGCACUGUUUCGGCUAGGGGGUCAUCCCGACUUACCAACCCGAUGCAAACUACGAAUACCGAAGAAUGUUAUCACGGGAGACACACGGCGGGUGCUAACGUCCGUCGUGAAGAGGGAAACAACCCAGACCGCCAGCUAAGGUCCCAAAGUCAUGGUUAAGUGGGAAACGAUGUGGGAAGGCACAGACAGCCAGGAUGUUGGCUUAGAAGCAGCCAUCAUUUAAAGAAAGCGUAAUAGCUCACUGGUCGAGUCGGCCUGCGCGGAAGAUGUAACGGGGCUAAACCAUGCACCGAAGCUGCGGCAGCGACACUAUGUGUUGUUGGGUAGGGGAGCGUUCUGUAAGCCUGCGAAGGUGUGCUGUGAGGCAUGCUGGAGGUAUCAGAAGUGCGAAUGCUGACAUAAGUAACGAUAAAGCGGGUGAAAAGCCCGCUCGCCGGAAGACCAAGGGUUCCUGUCCAACGUUAAUCGGGGCAGGGUGAGUCGACCCCUAAGGCGAGGCCGAAAGGCGUAGUCGAUGGGAAACAGGUUAAUAUUCCUGUACUUGGUGUUACUGCGAAGGGGGGACGGAGAAGGCUAUGUUAGCCGGGCGACGGUUGUCCCGGUUUAAGCAUGUAGGCUGGUUAUCCAGGCAAAUCCGGAUAAUCAAGGCUGAGGUGUGAUGACGAGGCACUACGGUGCUGAAGUAACAAAUGCCCUGCUUCCAGGAAAAGCCUCUAAGCAUCAGGUAACAUCAAAUCGUACCCCAAACCGACACAGGUGGUCAGGUAGAGAAUACCAAGGCGCUUGAGAGAACUCGGGUGAAGGAACUAGGCAAAAUGGUGCCGUAACUUCGGGAGAAGGCACGCUGGUGUGUAGGUGAAGUCCCUGCGGAUGGAGCUGAGACCAGUCGAAGAUACCAGCUGGCUGCAACUGUUUAUUAAAAACACAGCACUGUGCAAACACGAAAGUGGACGUAUACGGUGUGACGCCUGCCCGGUGCCGGAAGGUUAAUUGAUGGGGUUAUCCGUAAGGAGAAGCUCUUGAUCGAAGCCCCGGUAAACGGCGGCCGUAACUAUAACGGUCCUAAGGUAGCGAAAUUCCUUGUCGGGUAAGUUCCGACCUGCACGAAUGGCGUAAUGAUGGCCAGGCUGUCUCCACCCGAGACUCAGUGAAAUUGAACUCGCUGUGAAGAUGCAGUGUACCCGCGGCAAGACGGAAAGACCCCGUGAACCUUUACUAUAGCUUGACACUGAACAUUGAGCCUUGAUGUGUAGGAUAGGUGGGAGGCUUUGAAGCGUGGACGCCAGUCUGCGUGGAGCCAACCUUGAAAUACCACCCUUUAAUGUUUGAUGUUCUAACGUUGGCCCCUGACCGGGGUUGCGGACAGUGUCUGGUGGGUAGUUUGACUGGGGCGGUCUCCUCCCAAAGCGUAACGGAGGAGCACGAAGGUUAGCUAAUCCUGGUCGGACAUCAGGAGGUUAGUGCAAUGGCAUAAGCUAGCUUGACUGCGAGCGUGACGGCGCGAGCAGGUGCGAAAGCAGGUCAUAGUGAUCCGGUGGUUCUGAAUGGAAGGGCCAUCGCUCAACGGAUAAAAGGUACUCCGGGGAUAACAGGCUGAUACCGCCCAAGAGUUCAUAUCGACGGCGGUGUUUGGCACCUCGAUGUCGGCUCAUCACAUCCUGGGGCUGAAGUAGGUCCCAAGGGUAUGGCUGUUCGCCAUUUAAAGUGGUACGCGAGCUGGGUUUAGAACGUCGUGAGACAGUUCGGUCCCUAUCUGCCGUGGGCGCUGGAGAAUUGAGGGGGGCUGCUCCUAGUACGAGAGGACCGGAGUGGACGCAUCACUGGUGUUCGGGUUGUCAUGCCAAUGGCACUGCCCGGUAGCUAAAUGCGGAAGAGAUAAGUGCUGAAAGCAUCUAAGCACGAAACUUGCCCCGAGAUGAGUUCU
rnacentral:rRNA from 4 species